AGUGAACGCUGGCGGUAGGCCUAACACAUGCAAGUCGAACGGAAGCACAGUAAGAGCUUGCUCUUACGGGUGGCGAGUGGCGGACGGGUGAGGCAUACAUCGGAAUCUAAUUUUUCGUGGGGGAUAACGUAGGGACACUUCCGCUAAUAGCGCAUACGACCUACGGGUGAAAGCAGGGGAUCUUCGGACCUUGCGCGAUUGAAUGAGCCGAUGUCGGAUUAGCUAGUUGGCGGGGUAAAGGCCCACCAAGGCGACGAUCCGUAGCUGGUCUGAGAGGAUGAUCAGCCACACUGGAACUGAGACACGGUCCAGACUCCUACGGGAGGCAGCAGUGGGGAAUAUUGGACAAUGGGCGCAAGCCUGAUCCAGCCAUACCGCGUGGGUGAAGAAGGCCUUCGGAUUGUAAAGCCCUUUUGUUGGGGAAGAAAAGCAGCAUGUUAAUCCCCCGCUGUUCUGACGGUACCCAAAGAAUAAGCACCGGCUAACUUCGUG
rnacentral:rRNA from 1 species